rnacentral:misc_RNA from 1 species
AUUUGUUAAUUGUUAUAAAUUUAUCAAGUAUAAGAAAUUUUUUUUGAUAGAGCAGAAAAUUAUAAUUUCUUGGACACUAUUAAAUUCAUUUCAAAUGAAUUCUAAAUUUGUGAUUGAAUUGAACCAAAUACUAUGUAAAUGAAAGAUAACACACUAAUUCAGCCAACAUAUAAACAGAAUAAGUUAAGAAGACCAUGUUUGCAAAUCCAUUUAAUUUAAUGAGAUUCUUCGAAGUAAAAAUAAUCAUGAAAACACAUUAACAGAGUAUAGAAGUGGCAGACCUCUUGUUCAUGUCAACA